rnacentral:lncRNA from 1 species
AUGGGAAUGGAGUUAAGAAGGAUCAGGAAUGUCGGAAUUCCCAAAAAAUCCUGGAAUUCCGAUAGAAUUCCCAAGAAAUUUGGCGGGAAAAUGGUGAAAAUCCGCGCUAAAGGCAUCGAAAUCCAGCCCAAAAUGGUCCCAAAAAGACCCAAAAUUGCCCCAUUUGGACUUUUGGGGACAUUUUGGGGACAUUUGGGGACAUUUUGGGGGUCCCUGGUGACAUUUUGGGGACAUUUGGGGACAUUUUGGGGCCAUUUUGGGGACAUUUUGGGGACAUUUGGGGACAUUUUGGUGACAUUCGGGGGGGGUCCCGAACUCACCCUCGAGGAGCCCGAGGAGGAGCCACAGCAACAUGGCGGCACUUCGGCAAUUUCCGGACCCCUUCGGCAACUUCCGUACCCCUUCGGCAAUUUCCGUACCCUUUCGGCUCUUUCCGAGCCCCGGUUCGGUCUCUCCCUCUAUUUCCGGUCCGCUCCGCUUACUUCCGGCCCGGUUCCGUUUAGUCCGCUUCGGCUCUUUCCGGACGAGCUCGGCUCUUUUCGGCUCGGUUCCGAUUCCUCCGGCCUAGUUGGGCCCAGUUGGGCCCAGUUCGAGCCCAGUUCGGCCCAGUUUGGGCCCAGUUCAGCGUCUCCGGCCGCCCCUCAGCCCCCGGCCCGGCCCAUGGGCUCCUCCCCCGCCGCAGGAGGAGGACGAGGAUGAGGAGGACGAGGAGGAAGAGCCCGGGACGGCUCUGAGGAGCCGCUUCAAGGCAUGGCCGGACCCUCAGGAGGGUCCGGUUCGCCUCCGGUUCGCCUCCGGUUCGCCUCCGGUUCUGUUCCGCCGUUCGGCUCUUUCCGUGUCCCGGUUCGGUGGCGCUCGGCUCCGUUCGGCUUUUUCCGGCUCUUUUCGGCUCCGCUCGCUCUCGGCGCACUGCGGCGCCUGAGGGGGGGGCGGGACCAGCGGGGUGACGUCAGGAAAUGGGCGGGGCUUAAUGAAGCCACGCCCCCAACCGGAACCGGGCCCUCCCUGGUGUCCCCGAAAGGGUCGCGAUGUCCCCAAGGGUGUCCCCAGUGUCCCCAGGGGUGUCCAGUGUCCCCAAAUCCUUCCCAGGGUCCCCAAAGGUGUCCCAAGGUCCCCGAAGUGUCCCCAAGUCCCUCCCGGUGUCCCCAAGGAUGUCCCCAAGUCCCUCCCGGUGUCCCCAGAGAUGUCCCCAAGUCCCUUCCGGUGUCCCCUGGGUGUCCCAGUGU